rnacentral:rRNA from 1 species
UACGCAGGGUGCAAGCGUUAAUCGGAAUUACUGGGCGUAAAGCGUGCGCAGGCGGCUAUGCAAGACAGAUGUGAAAUCCCCGGGCUCAACCUGGGAACUGCAUUUGUGACUGCAUGGCUAGAGUACGGUAGAGGGGGAUGGAAUUCCGCGUGUAGCAGUGAAAUGCGUAGAUAUGCGGAGGAACACCGAUGGCGAAGGCAAUCCCCUGGACCUGUACUGACGCUCAUGCACGAAAGCGUGGGGAGCAAACAGG